AUGGAAACCAGGCAGGCCGGUGGCUGAGAGGGUGUUCUGCAAGUUAUUGCCUUCUUCAGAAGUUUUUCAGAAAAGACAACUAUGGGUAUAAAAAAAUAAAGGGAAAUGCUACACCUUUCUCUCACUUGAAUAAGUGGAUAAAGAGAACUUACUAUUGACAAAACUGUCAUUUUUUGAAAGCAUGUUGUUUACAAUCUUUAGUACUUGAGCUAUUAUUAUUAAUUCACCUCACAACAGAUUCCAACACAACCGAGUAUUUCAAUCCCAGUGACUUUGGAAGAUAGGCUUGGUGCAUAUGAAGGGUGCAUGUCUUAUGAAUAAGAAAUAUGCCUGAAGUCAAAGAGGUAAUAUGAGGGCAAUCCAAGUAUCUUGACAUAAAAUCAAUGGUGGCAGUUUUACAACAACCGUAUAUGAAUGUAUAAGUUACAUUAAUAAUUUAUGACUGCUAUUCUUUCCCAUUCACCUGAUUGUUUAUUGAUUUUUCAGCAACUAAU
ensembl:lncRNA